GACGAACGCUGGCGGCGUGCUUAACACAUGCAAGUCGAACGGAAAGGCCCUGCUUUUGUGGGGUGCUCGAGUGGCGAACGGGUGAGUAACACGUGAGUAACCUGCCCUUGACUUUGGGAUAACUUCAGGAAACUGGGGCUAAUACCGGAUAGGAGCUCCUGCUGCAUGGUGGGGGUUGGAAAGUUUCGGCGGUUGGGGAUGGACUCGCGGCUUAUCAGCUUGUUGGUGGGGUAGUGGCUUACCAAGGCUUUGACGGGUAGCCGGCCUGAGAGGGUGACCGGCCACAUUGGGACUGAGAUACGGCCCAGACUCCUACGGGAGGCAGCAGUGGGGAAUAUGGCACAAUGGGCGGGAGCCUGAUGCAGCAACGCCGCGUGCGGGAUGACGGCCUUCGGGUUGUAAACCGCUUUCGCCUGUGACGAAGCGUGAGUGACGGUAAUGGGUAAAGAAGCACCGGCUAACUACGUG
rnacentral:rRNA from 1 species